GGAUCCAGACUUUGAUUAUGGCUCAGGAUGAACGCUAGCUACAGGCUUAACACAUGCAAGUCGAGGGGAAACGAUAUUGGAAGCUUGCUUCCGAUAGGCGUCGACCGGCGCACGGGUGAGUAACGCGUAUCCAACCUGCCCAUCACUUGGGGAUAACCUUGCGAAAGUAAGACUAAUACCCAAUGACGUCUCUAGAAGACAUCUGAAAGAGAUUAAAGAUUUAUCGGUGAUGGAUGGGGAUGCGUCUGAUUAGCUUGUUGGCGGGGUAACGGCCCACCAAGGCAACGAUCAGUAGGGGUUCUGAGAGGAAGGUCCCCCACAUUGGAACUGAGACACGGUCCAAACUCCUACGGGAGGCAGCAGUGAGGAAUAUUGGUCAAUGGACGAGAGUCUGAACCAGCCAAGUAGCGUGCAGGAUGACGGCCCUAUGGGUUGUAAACUGCUUUUAUAAGGGAAUAAAGUGAGUCUCGUGAGACUUUUUGCAUGUACCUUAUGAAUAAGGACCGGCUAAUUCCGUGCCAGCAGCCGCGGUAAUACGGAAGGUCCGGGCGUUAUCCGGAUUUAUUGGGUUUAAAGGGAGCGUAGGCCGGAGAUUAAGCGUGUUGUGAAAUGUAGACGCUCAACGUCUGCACUGCAGCGCGAACUGGUUUCCUUGAGUACGCACAAAGUGGGCGGAAUUCGUGGUGUAGCGGUGAAAUGCUUAGAUAUCACGAAGAACUCCGAUUGCGAAGGCAGCUCACUGGAGCGCAACUGACGCUGAAGCUCGAAAGUGCGGGUAUCGAACAGGAUUAGAUACCCUGGUAGUCCGCACGGUAAACGAUGGAUGCCCGCUGUUGGUCUGAAUAGGUCAGCGGCCAAGCGAAAGCAUUAAGCAUCCCACCUGGGGAGUACGCCGGCAACGGUGCAACUCAAAUGAAUUGACGG
rnacentral:rRNA from 1 species